AGUAGCUGGGACUACAGGUGGGUGCCACCACACCUGUGUAAUUUUUGUAUUUUUUGCAGAGACAGUGCUUCAUUAUGUUUCUCAGGCAGUCAAUAACUCCUGGGCUCAAGGGAUCCAGGCCACCACGGCCUCCCAAAGUGUUGGGAUUACAGGGUCUGGUGAUGAUAAACUCCCUCAGCUUUUGUUUGUCUGGGAAAGCCAUUAUCUCUUCUUUGUUUCUGAAGCACAGUUUGCCAGGUGCCUUAUGAGUUUUUGCAGAUAUACCCACAGACACUUAAAUGAACGAAACAAGGAACAACAAACAGGACACUUGCUACACAUGCCGAGGACCCUCACUUUAGGAAUAUGUAGAAAACAAUGUGGCAUUUUCAAAUGGAUAAAAAGCUGUUCAUAUCUCCCACAAUUGACUGAAUGUUCUAAGCUUAAAUAAACAAUUAUACAAAUAA